AGUGACGGUACCUGCAGAAGAAGCACCGGCUAACUACGUGCCAGCAGCCGCGGUAAUACGUAGGUGCAAGCGUUGUCCGGAAUUACUGGGCGUAAAGAGUUCGUAGGCGGUUUGUCGCGUCGUUUGUGAAAACCAGCAGCUCAACUGCUGGCGUGCAGGCGAUACGGGCAUAACUUGAGUACUGUAGGGGAGACUGGAAUUCCUGGUGUAGCGGUGAAAUGCGCAGAUAUCAGGAGGAACACCGAUGGCGAAGGCAGGUCUCUGGGCAGUUACUGACGCUGAGGAGCGAAAGCAUGGGUAGCGAACAGGAUUAGAUACCCUGGUAGUCCAUGCCGUAAACGGUGGGCGCUAGGUGUGGGGGUCUUCCACGACUUCCGUGCCGUAGCUAACGCAUUAAGCGCCCCGCCUGGGGAGUACGGCCGCAAGGCUA
rnacentral:rRNA from 1 species